rnacentral:rRNA from 1 species
GACGAACGCUGGCGGCGUGCUUAACACAUGCAAGUCGAACGAGAAUCUACUGAAAGAGUUUUCGGACAAUGGAUGUAGAGGAAAGUGGCGGACGGGUGAGUAACGCGUGAGGAACCUGCCUUGAAGAGGGGGACAACAGUUGGAAACGACUGCUAAUACCGCAUGACGCAUAGAGGUCGCAUGAUCUUUAUGCCAAAGAUUUAUCGCUUCAAGAUGGCCUCGCGUCUGAUUAGCUGGUUGGCGGGGUAACGGCCCACCAAGGCGACGAUCAGUAGCCGGACUGAGAGGUUGAACGGCCACAUUGGGACUGAGACACGGCCCAGACUCCUACGGGAGGCAGCAGUGGGGAAUAUUGCACAAUGGGGGAAACCCUGAUGCAGCGACGCCGCGUGGAGGAAGAAGGGUCUUCGGAUUGUAAACUUCUUUUGUCAGGGACGAGUAGAAGACGGUACCUGACGAAUAAGCCACGGCUAACUACGUG